rnacentral:lncRNA from 10 species
AAACCGGAAAGCAUGGACACCCAGACAGCUUACUGUCAAUGACUGUACUAUUCACUGUCUUCAACAAAAGUCAGCUAUUCCAGGAAACUCUCGUCCAGAAAGAUAAAAAUUGAGAAUGAGACAUCAAUCAAUAUGCGGAAGAUUUACAUGGUUCGGUCUGGAAGGGUGGGACAAUUCGAAGGGUGAGGAGAGAAGAGGAGCUUCCGGGUCAUAGGUGGUCAGGAAGAAGUCAAAUCUUCUAGAGGAGAAUCAACCACUGACCUACCAGAAUCCACCAUGGACCUGGAGUCACCCACAGAUGUGUACCUGGAGAACACCCAGGCUUUCCACCCUUCUGGAAGAGUAGGAACAGAUUCUUAUGUGUACAACACAGGAUCCUCUCAUCCAACUGAUCAAGUGGCCUGUCUUUAGGAUGUCCAGUCACAUCCCCACACACAAUACCUCUAACAAGGUCAUCUGAAGUUAUCACUAUCCUUGAGAAAAAACUGAAUGACAGUACAAGACUUAUUCGAGGCCUGAAAUGGAUCUUGGGAAGGGCCUGUGCACAUGAAGGACCCCAAAG